GGAGGGUGCAAGCGUUAAUCGGAAUUACUGGGCGUAAAGCGCGCGUAGGUGGAUAUUUAAGUCGGAUGUGAAAGCCCUGGGCUCAACCUGGGAACUGCAUUCGAUACUGGGUAUCUAGAGUAUAGUAGAGGGAAGUGGAAUUUCUGGUGUAGCGGUGAAAUGCGUAGAUAUCAGAAAGAACAUCAGUGGCGAAGGCGACUUCCUGGACUAAUACUGACACUGAGGUGCGAAAGCGUGGGGGAGCAAACAGGAUUAGAGACCCUGGUAGUCAACGCCGUAAACGAUGAGAACUAGACGUUGGGAUCCAUUGGGUCUUAGUGUCGAAGCUAACGCGUUAAGUUCUCCGCCUGGGGAGUACGGCCGCAAGGUUA
rnacentral:rRNA from 1 species